AGACCAUGUGCGGAUGCUCAAAGGGGGGAAGCCGAGAAGUCCCCCGCCGUCCGCGAAUAUGGCGCCUCCCGUUUAAAGGGGAAGGAGGAGGAUGGAGAAAGGUUCAGCUUCACCAGCCAGAAAUUCAAAGAUCUUCUGGAAAGCUGGGAAAAGCUCCACACAAAACAAAACCCUUCUCUUUGUGAAAGAAGAGCAUUUUGAUUGAAAAGAACAGCUUUUAAGAGCAGGCCUCGCAAGGGAACAGCUCUCAUCUUAACCCAGCUGCUUCACACAAGCGCGUGAGGACAUGCUUUUAAAAAUAGAAAAUCAGACAAAAAAGGCUGCUUUUUUGUAUUACCUUAAUGAUUUAUUACAGCGCUGAAUGACCCAACAGCUGCGCACUGCUGCCAACAAUCAUAAGCAGUGUCACUCAGUAUCAAAACAGUUAUCUACAAGUGGCCUAUUUCCAGGCGCUGCUGCAAACACCCUGGGAGAACAGAACAGAAUGCAUAAUAAAGGCUUCUUGUGAAAGUGUGCUGCUUCUGAAAGCUAUGCAGAAAAAAAAGGCUGUGAGCUAAGAUCCAAGAGCCAUUGAAAGAGCAGAUGAAUUGCGGCAGCUAGAGUGGUGACUGGGAGUGGCCACCGAGACCAUAUAACACCGGUCCUAAAGGAUCUUCAUUGGCUCC